rnacentral:misc_RNA from 1 species
GAUGAAGAACGUAGCGAAAUGCGAUAAGUAAUGUGAAUUGCAGAAUUCAGUGAAUCAUCGAAUCUUUGAACGCACAUUGCGCCCGCCAGUAUUCUGGCGGGCAUGCCUGUUCGAGCGUCAUUUCAACCAUCAAGCCCCAGGCUUGUGUUGGGGACCUGCGGCUGCCGCAGGCCCUGAAAACCAGUGGCGGGCUCGCUGUCACACCGGGCGUAGUAGAUUUUAUCUCGCUCAGGGCGUGCUGCGGGUUCCGGCCGUAAAAAAGCCUUUUUUACCCAAGGUUGACCUCGGAUCAGGUAGGAAGACCCGCUGAACUUAAGCAUAUCAAUAAGCGGAGGA